rnacentral:rRNA from 1 species
UACGGAGGGUGCGAGCGUUAAUCGGAGUUACUGGGCGUAAAGCGCACGUAGGUGGUGCUAUUUGUCUGCUGUGAAAGCCCUGGGCUUAACCUGGGAACGGCAGCGGAGACGGUAGUGCUGGAGUGUCACAGAGGCUGGCGGAAUUCCCGGUGUAGCGGUGAAAUGCGUAGAGAUCGGGAGGAACACCGAUGGCGAAAGCAGCCGGCUGGGUGGACACUGACGCUGAGGUGCGAAAGCGUGGGGAGCAAACAGGAUUAGAAACCCCCGUAGUCC